UACGUAGGUGGCAAGCGUUAUCCGGAUUUAUUGGGCGUAAAGCGAGCGCAGGCGGUCUUUUAAGUCUGAUGUGAAAGCCUUCGGCUUAACCGGAGUAGUGCAUUGGAAACUGGGAGACUUGAGUGCAGAAGGGGAGAGUGGAACUCCAUGUGUAGCGGUGAAAUGCGUAGAUAUAUGGAAGAACACCAGUGGCGAAAGCGGCUCUCUGGUCUGUAACUGACGCUGAGGUUCGAAAGCGUGGGUAGCAAACAGG
rnacentral:rRNA from 1 species